UUUACAAUGCGGGAAACCGUGAUAAGGGAACACCGAGUGCCAGCAUCAUAUGUUGGCUGUCCAGAUGUGUAAAAUACAUNUGUUAGCAAGGGCCGGGCAAGACCGGUGCCAGCCGCCGCGGUAACACCGGCGGCCCGAGUGGUGAUCGUGAUUAUUGGGUNUAAAGGGUCCGUAGCCGGUUUGGUCAGUCCUCCGGGAAAUCUGACGGCUCAACCGUCAGGCUUUCAGUGGAUACUGCCAGACUUGGAACCGGGAGAGGUGAGAGGUACUACAGGGGUAGGAGUGNNNUNNUGUAAUNCUCUNUGAGACCACCUGUGGCGAAGGCGUCUCACCAGAACG
rnacentral:rRNA from 1 species